rnacentral:rRNA from 1 species
GAACGGGUGAGUAACACGUGGGUGAUCUGCCCUGCACUUUGGGAUAAGCCUGGGAAACUGGGUCUAAUACCGAAUAGGACCACGCGCUUCAUGGUGUGUGGUGGAAAGCUUUUGCGNNNNGGGAUGGGCCCGCGGCCUAUCAGCUUGUUGGUGGGGUAAUGGCCUACCAAGGCGACGACGGGUAGCCGGCCUGAGAGGGUGACCGGCCACACUGGGACUGAGAUACGGCCCAGACUCCUACGGGAGGCAGCAGUGGGGAAUAUUGCACAAUGGGCGCAAGCCUGAUGCAGCGACGCCGCGUGAGGGAUGACGGCCUUCGGGUUGUAAACCUCUUUCAAUAGGGACGAAGCGCAAGUGACGGUACCUAUAGAAGAAGCACCGGCCAACUACGUGCCAGCAGCCGCGGUAAUACGUAGGGUGCGAGCGUUGUCCGGAAUCAUUGGGCGUAAAGCGGGAGUAGGUGGCUGGACAUGUCAGAAGUGAAAGCCCUGGGCUUAACCCAGGAAGUGCUUUUGAAACUGUUCAGCUUGAGUGCCGGAGAGGUUGCUAGAAUACCUGGUGUAGUGGUGAAAUACGUAGAUAUCAGGUGGAAUUCCGGAGAGGAAGCUGGGUAACUGGCCGGACACUGACACUCAUCCCCGAAAGCGUGGGGAUCAAACAGGAUUAGAUACCCUGGUAGUCCACGCCGUAAACGAUGGAUACUUGGUGUUGGAGGUAUUGACCCCUUCAGUGCCGAAGCUAACGCGUUAAGUAUCCCGCCUGGGAAGUACGGUCGCAAGAUUAAAACUCAAAGAAAUUGACGGGGACCCGCACAAGCG